AUUGAACGCUGGCGGCAUGCUUUACACAUGCAAGUCGAACGGCAGCGCGGGCUUCGGCCUGGCGGCGAGUGGCGAACGGGUGAGUAAUGCAUCGGAACGUGCCCAGCAGUGGGGGAUAGCCCGGCGAAAGCCGGAUUAAUACCGCAUACGACCUGAGGGUGAAAGCGGGGGACCGAAAGGCCUCGCGCUAUUGGAGCGGCCGAUGUCGGAUUAGCUAGUUGGUGGGGUAAAGGCUUACCAAGGCGACGAUCCGUAGCUGGUCUGAGAGGACGACCAGCCACACUGGGACUGAGACACGGCCCAGACUCCUACGGGAGGCCGCAGUGGGGAAUUUUGGACAAUGGGGGCGAACCUGAUCCAGCCAUGCCGCGUGCGGGAAGAAGGCCUUCGGGUUGUAAAGCGCUUUUGUUCGGGAAGAAAUCCUCUGGGCUAAUACCCCGGGGGGAUGACGGUACCGGGAGAAUAAGCACCGGCUAACUACGUG
rnacentral:rRNA from 1 species